UUGCCAAUAUCUAUUAUUUUUUCUCUUCAUGAAUGUCACCAUUUUCAUGUUGAUGCCUCAUUAUUUCAUUGAAGAUGGGAAAUAUCCAUUCUAACUUCUAAAUUGUAGUGUAGGAGGCUGUGCAUGAAUUCUAGAUAUGUGGCGGUUUCUACCCUAUUUAACAAAGAAAAGGAGUCAGCACGUGAAAUGGCAAUAUCCAUUGAUCAGGGGCCAAUGAUCUCUUACAAUGACAGUUUGUCUUGUUGUCAUUUGUGUCUCAGGUUGUCUUAAAUUCUCUGCUGUCAGUUACUGAAAGGAUGAAAAAGAUAAUGUCAGACUUUUAAUGUGAAGGUGUUGCAGUUUGAAAGGAAUCAAAAGUUGUGGUGAAAUGGAAAGAUGUUUGCAAACGGAAGAAGCUAGGAGGAUUGGGUAUUGUGCUGUUGAACAUAUGCUGGAGGUCACCUCCAUGCCAGGGCUGCUAAGCUCUCUAGAGCGAAUAAAGGGGUGAGGUCAACCGGGUAAAAAAGAAGGGAAAGAAGGGGGAAAAGAAAGAGGAUUGAAGUGGUCUGGGUUUUCAGAGUCCUGACCUGGAGGGACUAAUAUCUGGCUUGGUUUUUUAAGUGGGAGUUGUGUUCAAUGACACUUGAGCCCCAAGUUUAAAGUUCCAGCAAAUGUUAAAUGUCUUCUAUGGUUGAUCGCUCCAUGUGAAAUUCCAUGACCUGUCACCAACUUAAUUUGAACUAUAUCACCACCCAAAGGACAAAAAAAGGGGGUACCAUGUUUGUUACCUAACUUAGUGACUGUUGAUAUACAUUGUUGUGUGCCUUCCUAACAGAUCGAGCUUAUGGGAUAAAAGGUUGUACACAGUAUCAGAGUCAGGAGAUCAUGUGCUUGAUCCCUAGCAGUUAUGGGUGCCAGCUCUCUUAGUUGUUAAAGACAUUGGCCUGUUGCUGCUUUGGUUCUGGGAUCGAAACCUGCCUUCACCUUGUGCUACAUGUGCCUUCGCUGUCCCUCUCUAGUAGUGUGCCCUUUGUGCUCCCCUCUUUUGUCCAUGCUAUGGCGCUUGUAGUGUAGAUUAAUUUCUUUGGAUAAAAAAUAUAAAUUUUGAGGGCAGGAAGAUACAUAUUUGUGAUAUAGGCAUUUGUAGCUACUUUUACUGUUUUAGUAAAAUAAUUGUUGUUGCUGA